rnacentral:rRNA from 1 species
UACGUAGGUGGCGAGCGUUGUCCGGAUUUACUGGGCGUAAAGGGAGCGUAGGCGGGCUUUUAAGUGAGAUGUGAAAUACUCGGGCUCAACUUGAGUGCUGCAUUUCAAACUGGAAGUCUAGAGUGCAGGAGAGGAGAAUGGAAUUCCUAGUGUAGCGGUGAAAUGCGUAGAGAUUAGGAAGAACACCAGUGGCGAAGGCGAUUCUCCGGACUGUAACUGACGCUGAGGCUCGAAAGCGUGGGGAGCAAACAGG